GCUAGCAGCCAAGGGGAGAACAUUGCCCCGCUGGAGCUGUUGCUCAUGUAACAGUUUGGAGGUCUUGGUGAUGAUACUAUAAACUUUGGUACAACAGAGAAGUGUAACACUUGGUGCUCCAAUCAAAACAGUGCCUCCCAGUGCUCGCUAUACAGAUGCUGGCAGCGACGUGGUACCACAAGAAGACGCUGUGAAUUACAUAAGGGCCCCUGCUGCCAAGAACAAGCAUACGGCCUCUUUGGCUCUGCCAGUGAUGAAAUUCUCAGCUGUCAGCUGCUGCAAUUCACAGGUACAGAUCUCAACCAGUUACAAAGCAGGACCCCACUGGCUUUGGCCCUAUUCCCUGGCCUUUCUCCACAGUGUAAGGAACAAUGCAAAUAUCAAAGCAGUGAGGUAAUGGGCAGAGGUAACACAUCAGCUCAGUCAAGGCUGACAUCACCACCUCUGUCUGCAUUUGUUCUUCAAAUGGGUCAGGUACCUAGUGGCUGUAAAUCAGCAUUCAGUGCUGCUGAAGUGGCCUACACCAGCUGAAGAUCUAACCCUUAAUCCCUAUAUGCAAGAAGAAUUUAGUUCCUUAUGUGUGGCCUCAGCCCUUGUAUCUCAUCACUGAGAUUAACGUUAAGGAAAUCCUUUGGUAAGAAGUGAACUACCUCUUUUGCCACCAGCUGCUGAGAGAGAUCUGGGCAAUUGCCUGCAGAUAUGACGAGCCUUAUAAGUACGGGAGAGACCUUUUUGCUAAGACUUACUCCAUCUUGACCAGAAAAAGACAAUUAACAAUGCCAGCCCCACUCCUACACACUUUCCUGUCAACACCCUCCACCUACGACUCAUGUGACAGAUGCCACUCACUCUGCCUCUGAGAGCCUUGUGGUUUGGUUAAUUGUGUUUGAUGGUUUCCUUUACUUACUGACCAAGUAAGUUGUCAUAUCUGCAAAGGUUGACACUGUGAUUACUCAGAAACAGGCUUUGGGCCUUCUGCUUAGCAGCACUCUUGUAGCUUUGCCUAGGUCCCUUGAAAAUGGACGAAGCUGGCAACAACUCCUGAACUGAGUUGUGUUCUCCCAGCUCAGUCAAGGUGUAUGCUCAAGAGGAGGGCAGAGAAAGUGCUUCAAGGAUGUCCUCAAGGCCAACUUGAAAAAAUGCAGCAUUGAUAUCAACUCAUGGGAAACUAGUGCCCAGGAACGUCCCAAAUGGAGUAAGUCUGCUGCAGGGAUUUCAGUACUUUGAAACUUUAUGAUGACAACAGGAGAUGGAAAAGUGGGAGCAGGAGAAACAGCAUCUUGUGGACCAAAUCAAGAAUCCGGAGCCAUCCACCCCACACAGAAAUACAUGCCCGAGUUGCAGCAGAGUCUAUUGAUCCCGAGUCAGCCAUGUCAGCCAUCUUCAGACCCACAGAUUAGACAAUCAUGGAAGACAAUUAUCCUCAACUACAAGUGACUGCCAAACUUCAGAGAAAGUGAACGCACAGCAGUUUAUUUGAUUAAUUGUAUACAUUUACAGUCAGUAGAUCCUAUCACUGAGAAAAGGUUUCCCAAGAGAACCUCUGUUACAGAUAGUGAAGAAGCAUGUAACAGGCAUUUCAUGAGUAUACUUUUAAACUAACAGUAAGGAGAGGCAAACCUUUGCAUAGUGCUAACAUUCAGCACUUGUCUAUUCUUGAAAGUUAAUUCAGAUUAAGCCAGAUUAAGCUUCAUGCGCUGGCAACCUCUCGCUUAUGUAUUUGCAGACUUUUAACCAGCACUCCAUGUAUCAUUUGGCAAUAACCUGAUUCCAGAAGUAGAAGACUGUGUUAGCUAAUCCUGGGUUAAUCCUGGGACAUUACAAAUGCCAAUCCACAAUGACUGCAUCCAGGUUAACCUCACACAUGACCCAGAAGGAGUGUGCAAAGAGUGAGGAAACAGGAAACUAAUAGUUCAAUCAGUGAUAAUUCUUCCUUCUUUCCAAAUCCUGUGGUUUGUGUAUCUUUCCUUAACUUUAUUAUUCUUCCCCUAAAAUCAGCCCUCUCAUUUUCUGUCCAAGGUCUCUGCCCAGGGACCUUUCAGGACACCAAAUAGAAGUGCUUCAAAUGACUAGAAAGAACAUAGCAGCCUAAUCAGAAUAUUUAGUGAACAAACAAAAUCAGGUUUCAA